CGAAGAUCGAGAACGAGGAAGCAGUGGCGCUACAAGGAGAGGAAGCGGUACAUGAAGGAGUCGGUGUCCUCCCGCAACACAUUCACCGCCACCCACUCGUCCUACGACACCUGCUUGAAGAACACCAAGCACCGCCCUCGGAGACAAGGACGCUCUGCCACUGCCCUGCCACCCCCCCGUGCAGCGUGUCGCUGGGCGCGGUGGAGUGCAGAGAUUGGGGAACGAGCUGUACAGAAGCGGCAGCUUCGCGGAGGAGCUGGCGCUGUACGAUUGCGCCAUCGCCAUCUCGCCGGGGAACACCGCAUGCCGGAGCAACUGCGCGGCGGCACUCACGGCGGUCAGGAGGCUCAGCAAUGCCGCGAGGGAGUGCCUUAAGGCUAUGAAGUUGGACCCUGCUUAUGUCAGAGCUCAUAAGAGACUUGCUUCACUUUAUCUUAGGUUUCGACAGGUUGAAAAUUCGCGGCGGCACUUGUGCCUCCAUGGGAUUCACGAGGAUCAAUCUGAGGAGCAGAAGCUAUUGUUAUUAGAGAAGCAUUUGAAUCGUUGUGCUGAUGCAAGAAAAUUUGGUGAUUGGGAGAGGCGCUUAGGGAAUCAGAAGCAGCCAUUGCUGUUGGAGCAAAUUUUUUGCCUCAGCUAUUUGGAGUUUUCAAAUUGCAACUAAACAAGGUUGCUGAGAAAGCUGGUGGAGGCUUGAAGAAGGCUAUUGAUUUCUACGAGGAAGUGAAGGCAAAGCAUCCUAAGAUUACAUAUACAGACCUCUACCAGGUGAUCAUUUGUCUUAAUUCAGUUGUUGUGAAAGUCUAUUGAAUCUGAUAAUUUUGUAUUAAAUUUGUUAGGUGAAAACUGAAAAUCGUAGAAUGGGGUUAAUGGACUUCUAAAUUUGCCUGGGAUGUGCAUGAUAAUUGAUUCAGCCGUGAUAUGUGGUUCUAAUUAACAACUGCAUAGCCUCAGACGACUAUGAUGGAUAUCAAAGUCCUUGUGCAAACAAUCACAUCUACACCCACAACCACAAUUUAAAACUAAAGACCGCGGUUGCAAAUAGAUUGACAAUUAAGUGUAUGGAAGCAAUAUGAAACGAAAGGAUAUAAGCAUUGAUAAAGUAUAUGAUGCACGUGCACUAAGAGUAGUUGUGGGAGACAAGAAUGGAACUUUACACGAAAGGAUAUAAGCAUUGAUAAUGUAGGUUCGCACUAAGGGGGUUGGGCGCAGUUCUUCGCGCCGAGUGCAAAUUAAUAAUUUCCCAUGAAAAAUUGAGCUAGGCUCAGGAAAAUUGAGUCGGGCUCAAGAAAGUUGUGUCGGGCGCAAGAACAUUGAGUCGGGCUCAAGAAAGUUACGUCGAGCGCAAGAAAGUUGCACCGAGCACAGGAAAGUCACUCAGAGUGUGCUCAGGUCACGCCAAACGUAAUGCUUCACUUUUGGUGCGGCAUCUAAUGUACUGGGCACGAGUUGGGGCACGCCAGGUGUGACCCCUGUGAUUUUAUAUGUUUUAUGUCAUGUUUGAAGGUGCAAAUUGUGUGGAAAUUGACUUAGUACUAUGUUAGCGUAUGUGAUGUGUUUUAUAAGCAUGAUAAGGACAUUAAUCUCCAAAUGAUGAUCUUAUGAGCAUGAUUAUGAGAAAUGUGAAAGGUGAAAUGUGAACAAGUGACAUGACACAUGAAAUUUCUUGACAAGUAAAAUGUUAAGUCCAUGAGUUUGUGAAGGUGUAACAUGCAUCAUAUGCAUUUAUGUGACGAGGAACGAUAUGGAGUACAUCGUUAGGGAAGGCCCUCCAAGUGUGAAACAUCUUGGAGGAGUCCUAGGGGAUAGUGCGAUUUGGAAGGCCCACUUCUGCCCGUUUGUGUGCAUGGGGCGUAUCUUGCGCGACUUUCUUAUCCCAACGAGACCCUAGCAAUACAUCCUUCUAGUUGAGAGUGCACGGUUGAGCUGACAUGUACUCCUAGAAUAAUCUAGGUAUGUUGCUUCGGAAGCAUACCACGUGAUAUAUGUGAUUAUAAGACACGUGACUAGUGCCACAUGCAUUCAUUUAUGAGUCAAGUCCAUGACAUCAUUGCAUGAUAAAUGAGUGUGCAUGUAAUACUAAUAUUGUAUGUGUAUUGUUUAUAUGUGAUUGGUGAUGGAGGACCAUCCUUGAAGACACAUGUGGGCCCCAUCACUAGGUCCAUGGCUAGGAGGGUCGAAGAGGAGGAGGGUGUUCACACACCUAGGGAUACUCUCCUCAUGAUCAUAGAGUAUUAGUACUCUCCUAAGCCUCAUUAGUAUAGGGUUUAUUUUAUUUGCCAAUUUUACCCUUGUAUUUUGGGGUAUUUUAGUCAUAGGAUUUAUUUUCUUU